rnacentral:rRNA from 1 species
UACGAAGGGGGCUAGCGUUGCUCGGAAUUACUGGGCGUAAAGCGCGUGUAGGCGGCUUUGCAAGUCGGAUGUGAAAUCCCACGGCUCAACCGUGGAAGUGCAUCCGAAACUGCAUCGCUCGAGUCUCGGAGAGGAAGGUGGAAUGCUUGGUGUAGAGGUGAAAUUCGUAGAUAUCAAGCAGAACGCCUGCGGCGAAGGCGGCCUUCUGGACGAUGACUGACGCUGAGACGCGAAAGCGUGGGGAGCAAACAGG